AAUAGAUACCCGUGUUGUCUACGACCUACGCUAGUGAGUGCCUAGGGUGUCGCGGUAGGUGAGUCCUGCCGUGCCGUAAGCUAACGCAUUAACGCACUCCGACCUGGGGGAGUACGGUCGCAAGGCUGAAACUCGAAAGGAAUUGACGGGGGCCCGCACAAGCGGUGGAGCAUGUGGUUCAAUUCGACGCAACGCGAAGAACCUUACCUGGGCUUGAACUGUAGAUGACAUCCGGCGAAAGUCGGCUUCCGCAAGGACAUCUGCAGAGGUGCUGCAUGGCUGUCGUCAGCUCGUGUCGUGAGAUGUUGGGUUAAUCCCGCAACGAGCGCAACCCCUUGUCCUCUGUUUGCCAUCAGGUUUAAGCGUGGGCGACUCUGGGGGAGGACUGCCGGUGAUAAACCGGACGGAAGGUGGGGAGUGACGUCAAGUCAGCAUGGCCUUUAUGUCCAGGGGCUACACACGUGCUACAAUGGCCGAUACAAAGCGUCGCGAUCCCGCGAGGGGGUAGCUAAUCGCAGAAAGUCGGUCUC
rnacentral:rRNA from 1 species